rnacentral:rRNA from 1 species
CCUACGGGUGGCAGCAGUCGAGAAUCAUUCACAAUGGGGGAAACCCUGAUGGUGCGACGCCGCGUGGGGGAAUGAAGGUCUUCGGAUUGUAAACCCCUGUCAUGUGGGAGCAAAUUAAAAAGAUAGUACCACAAGAGGAAGAGACGGCUAACUCUGUGCCAGCAGCCGCGGUAAUACAGAGGUCUCAAGCGUUGUUCGGAAUCACUGGGCGUAAAGCGUGCGUAGGCUGUUUCGUAAGUCGGGUGUGAAAGGCGCGGGCUCAACCGGCGGAUGGCACAUGAUACUGCGAGACUAGAGUAGAGUAGGGGUGGGCGGAAUUCGGGGGGUAGCGGUGAAAUGCUUAGAUAUCAAGAAGAACGCCGAGGGCGAAGGCAGGUCACUGGACUGUAACUGACACUGAGGCGCGAGAGCGGGGGGAUCAAACAGGAUUAGAUACCCGUGUAGUC